rnacentral:piRNA from 1 species
UGGACUUCCCACUGUGAUGAAGGCCUUUGG